CACCGGCGGCUCGAGUGGUGGCCACUUUUAUUGGGUCUAAAGCGUCCGUAGCCGGCUUGGCAAGUCCCCUGGGAAAUCUGGCGGCUUAACCGUCAGGCGUCCAGAGGAUACUGCCAGGCUUGGGGCCGGGAGAGGUGAGAGGUACCUCAGGGGUAGGGGUGAAAUCUUGUGAUCCCUGAGGGACCACCAGUGGCGAAGGCGUCUCACUAGAACGGGUCCGACGGUCAGGGACGAAAGCUGGGGGCACGAACCGG
rnacentral:rRNA from 1 species